rnacentral:rRNA from 1 species
GAUGAACGCUUUCUUCUUUCCUAAUACAUGCAAGUCGAGCGAACAGAUGAGGAGCUUGCUCCUCUGACGUUAGCGGCGGACGGGUGAGUAACACGUGGAUAACCUACCUAUAAGACUGGGAUAAAUUCGGGAAACCGGAGCUAAUACCGGAUAAUAUAUUGAACCGCAUGGUUCAAUAGUGAAAGACGGUUUUGCUGUCACUUAUAGAUGGAUCCGCGCCGCAUUAGCUAGUUGGUAAGGUAACGGCUUACCAAGGCAACGAUGCGUAGCCGACCUGAGAGGGUGAUCGGCCACACUGGAACUGAGACACGGUCCAGACGCCUACGGGGCAGCAGUAGGGAAUCUUCCGCAAUGGGCGAAAGCCUGACGGAGCAACGCCGCGUGAGUGAUGAAGGUCUUCGGAUCGUAAAACUCUGUUAUUAGGGAAGAACAAAUGUGUAAGUAACUAUGCACGUCUUGACGGUACCUAAUCAGAAAGCCACGGCUAACUACGUG